GAUGAACGCUGGCGGCGUGCCUAAUACAUGCAAGUCGAGCGAAUGGAUUAAGAGCUUGCUCUUAUGAAGUUAGCGGCGGACGGGUGAGUAACACGUGGGUAACCUGCCCAUAAGACUGGGAUAACUCCGGGAAACCGGGGCUAAUACCGGAUAACAUUUUGAACCGCAUGGUUCGAAAUUGAAAGGCGGCUUCGGCUGUCACUUAUGGAUGGACCCGCGACGCAUUAGCUAGUUGGUGAGGUAACGGCUCACCAAGGCAACGAUGCGUAGCCGACCUGAGAGGGUGAUCGGCCACACUGGGACUGAGACACGGCCCAGACUCCUACGGGAGGCAGCAGUAGGGAAUCUUCCGCAAUGGACGAAAGUCUGACGGAGCAACGCCGCGUGAGUGAUGAGGGCUUUCGGGUCGUAAAACUCUGUUGUUAGGGAAGAACAAGUGCUAGUUGAAUAAGCUGACACCUUGACGGUACCUAACCAGAAAGCCACGGCUAACUACGUGCCAGCCGCCGCAGUAA
rnacentral:rRNA from 1 species